rnacentral:rRNA from 1 species
AGAGCGAACGCUGGCGGCAGGCCUAAUACAUGCAAGUCGAACGGAUCCUUCGGGAUUAGUGGCGGACGGGUGAGUAACACGUGGGAACGUGCCCUUUGGUUCGGAACAACUCAGGGAAACUUGAGCUAAUACCGAAUGUGCCCUUCGGGGGAAAGAUUUAUCGCCAUUGGAGCGGCCCGCGUCUGAUUAGCUAGUUGGUGGGGUAAAGGCCCACCAAGGCGACGAUCAGUAGCUGGUCUGAGAGGAUGAUCAGCCACACUGGGACUGAGACACGGCCCAGACUCCUACGGGAGGCAGCAGUAGGGAAUCUGCGCAAUGGGCGAAAGCCUGACGCAGCCAUGCCGCGUGAAUGAUGAAGGUCUUAGGAUUGUAAAAUUCUUUCAGCGGGGACGAUAAUGACGGUACCGCAGAAGAAGCCCGGCUAACUUCGCGCCAGCAGCCGC